rnacentral:rRNA from 1 species
AUUGAACGCUGGCGGCAGGCUUAACACAUGCAAGUCGAGCGGUAACAGGAGAAGCUUGCUUCUUGCUGACGAGCGGCGGACGGGUGAGUAAUACUUAGGAAUCUGCCCAGUAGUGGGGGAUAGCUCGGGGAAACUCGAAUUAAUACCGCAUACACCCUACGGGGAAAAGGGGGCGCUUGCGCUCUCGCUAUUGGAUGAGCCUAAGUCGGAUUAGCUAGUUGGUGGGGUAAAGGCCUACCAAGGCGACGGUCUGUAGCUGGUCUGAGAGGAUGAUCAGCCACACCGGGACUGAGACACGGCCCGGACUCCUACGGGAGGCAGCAGUGGGGAAUAUUGGACAAUGGGGGCAACCCUGAUCCAGCCAUGCCGCGUGUGUGAAGAAGGCCUUUUGGUUGUAAAGCACUUUAAGCAGUGAAGAAGACUCUAUGGUUAAUACCCAUAGACGAUGACAUUAGCUGCAGAAUAAGCACCGGCUAACUCUGUGCCAGCAGCCGCGGUAAUACAGAGGGUGCAAGCGUUAAUCGGAAUUACUGGGCGUAAAGCGAGCGUAGGUGGCUUGAUAAGUCAGAUGUGAAAUCCCCGGGCUUAACCUGGGAACUGCAUCUGAUACUGUUAGGCUAGAGUAGGUGAGAGGGAGGUAGAAUUUCAGGUGUAGCGGUGAAAUGCGUAGAGAUCUGAAGGAAUACCGAUGGCGAAGGCAGCCUCCUGGCAUCAUACUGACACUGAGGUUCGAAAGCGUGGGUAGCAAACAGGAUUAGAUACCCUGGUAGUCCACGCCGUAAACGAUGUCUACUAGUCGUUGGGGAACUUGAUUCCUUAGUGACGCAGCUAACGCAAUAAGUAGACCGCCUGGGGAGUACGGCCGCAAGGUUAAAACUCAAAUGAAUUGACGGGGGCCCGCACAGGCGGUGGAGCAUGUGGUCUAAUUCGAUGCAACGCGAAGAACCUUACCUGGUCUUGACAUAUCUAGAAUCCUGCAGAGAUGCGGGAGUGCCUUCGGGAAUUAGAAUACAGGUGCUGCAUGGCUGUCGUCAGCUCGUGUCGUGAGAUGUUGGGUUAAGUCCCGCAGCGAGCGCAACCCUUUUCCUUAGUUACCAGCGGUUUGGCCGGGGACUCUAAGGAUACUGCCAGUGACAAACCGGAGGAAGGCGGGGACGACGUCAAGUCAUCAUGGCCCUUACGACCAGGGCUACACACGUGCUACAAUGGUAGGUACAGAGGGCAGCUACACAGCGAUGUGAUGCGAAUCUCAAAAAGCCUAUCGUAGUCCAGAUUGGAGUCUGCAACUCGACUCCAUGAAGUCGGAAUCGCUAGUAAUCGCGGAUCAGAAUGCCGCGGUGAAUACGUUCCCGGGCCU